rnacentral:rRNA from 1 species
CACGUAGGCACCAAGCGUUGUCCGGAUUUAUUGGGCGUAAAGAGCUCGUAGGCGGUUCAGUAAGUCAGGUGUGAAAUCUUUGGGCUUAACCCAAAGCGUGCACUUGAUACUGCUGUGACUUGAGUUCGGUAGGGGAGUGGGGAAUUCCUAGUGUAGCGGUGAAAUGCGCAGAUAUUAGGAGGAACACCGGUGGCGAAGGCGGGUCUCUGGGCAGUAACUGACGCUGAGGCACGAAAGCGUGGGGAGCAAACAGG